AUGUAUACGGAGGCAUUUAUACUAAAUUUGAAAUGAUAUGGAGAAGAUUAGCAGGGCCCUUGGACAAGAAUGACAAACAGAUUUGUGAAAAAUUACCUAUUUAA
ensembl:snRNA U6 U6 spliceosomal RNA